AAACUCGCCUACAUGAAGCUGGAGUUACUAGUAAUCGCAGAUCAGAAUGCUGCGGUGAAUGCGUUCCCGGGUCUUGUACACACCGCCCGUCACACCACGGAAGUUGGGGGCGCCCGAGGCCACUUAGCUAACCCUUUUGGGAAGCGAGUGUCGAAGGUGAAAUCAAUAACUGGGGUGAAGUCGUAACAAGGUAAC
rnacentral:rRNA from 1 species